GGUUGAUCCUGCCAGUAGUCAUAUGCUUGUCUCAAAGAUUAAGCCAUGCAUGUCUAAGUAUAAACAUCUUUAUACAGUGAAACUGCGUACAGCUCAUUAUAUCAGUAAUGAUUUAUUUGAUGGUACCUUACUACAUGGAUACCCGUAGUAAUUCUAGAGCUAAUACAUGCGUAAAAUCCUGACUCGUGCAAGCGGGAAGGGAUGUAUUUAUUAGAUAACAAAAUCAAUGCAGAUUAGCAAUAAUCUGGUUCUUUGGUGACUCAUAGUAACUGUUCGAAUCGCAUGGCUUUAU
rnacentral:rRNA from 1 species